CCUACGGGUGGCUGCAGUGGGGGAUAUUGCACAAUGGGGGAAACCCUGAUGCAGCGACGCCGCGUGUAGGAAGACGGUCCUCUGGAUUGUAAACUACUGUCCCCAGGGACGAAGAUGACGGUACCUGGGGAGGAAGCUCCGGCUAACUACGUGCCAGCAGCCGCGGUAAUACGUAGGGAGCGAGCGUUGUCCGGAAUUACGGGGUGUAAGGGGAGCGUAGGCGGGGAUGCAAGUUGGGUGUUAAAUCUACCGGUGAAACUGGUAGUCGCACUCAAAACUGCAGCUCUUGAGUGAAGUAGAGGCAGGCGGAAUUCCUAGUGUAGCGGUGAAAUGCGUAGAUAUUAGGAGGAACACCAGUGGCGAAGGCGGCCUGCUGGGCUUUAACUGACGCUGAGGCUCGAAAGUGUGGGGAGCAAACAGGAUUAGAUACCCCUGUAGUC
rnacentral:rRNA from 1 species